rnacentral:pre_miRNA from 1 species
AGCCUUCUGUAUCCGUGUUGAGAUUUCGUAACAUCAGACCACAAGGGCUCAUGAGACUACCAAGAUAAGUGAAGCG